CGCGCUGCAUUAGCUAGUUGGUAAGGUAACGGCUUACCAAGGCAACGAUGCAUAGCCGACCUGAGAGGGUGAUCGGCCACACUGGAACUGAGACACGGUCCAGACUCCUACGGGAGGCAGCAGUAGGGAAUCUUCCGCAAUGGGCGAAAGCCUGACGGAGCAACGCCGCGUGAGUGAUGAAGGUCUUCGGAUCGUAAAACUCUGUUAUUAGGGAAGAACAUAUGUGUAAGUAACUGUGCACAUCUUGACGGUACCUAAUCAGAAAGCCACGGCUAACUACGUGCCAGCAGCCGCGGUAAUACGUAGGUGGCAAGCGUUAUCCGGAAUUAUUGGGCGUAAAGCGCGCGUAGGCGGUUUUUUAAGUCUGAUGUGAAAGCCCACGGCUCAACCGUGGAGGGUCAUUGGAAACUGGAAAACUUGAGUGCAGAAGAGGAAAGUGGAAUUCCAUGUGUAGCGGUGAAAUGCGCAGAGAUAUGGAGGAACACCAGUGGCGAAGGCGACUUUCUGGUCUGUAACUGACGCUGAUGUGCGAAAGCGUGGGGAUCAAACAGGAUUAGAUACCCUGGUAGUCCACGCCGUAAACGAUGAGUGCUAAGUGUUAGGGGGUUUCCGCCCCUUAGUGCUGCAGCUAACGCAUUAAGCACUCCGCCUGGGGAGUACGACCGCAAGGUUGAAACUCAAAGGAAUUGACGGGGACCCGCACAAGCGGUGGAGCAUGUGGUUUAAUUCGAAGCAACGCGAAGAACCUUACCAAAUCUUGACAUCCUUUGACAACUCUAGAGAUAGAGCCUUCCCCUUCGGGGGACAAAGUGACAGGUGGUGCAUGGUUGUCGUCAGCUCGUGUCGUGAGAUGUUGGGUUAAGUCCCGCAACGAGCGCAACCCUUAAGCUUAGUUGCCAUCAUUAAGUUGGGCACUCUAAGUUGACUGCCGGUGACAAACCGGAGGAAGGUGGGGAUGACGUCAAAUCAUCAUGCCCCUUAUGAUUUGGGCUACACACGUGCUACAAUGGACAAUACAAAGGGCAGCGAAACCGCGAGGUCAAGCAAAUCCCAUAAAGUUGUUCUCAGUUCGGAUUGUAGUCUGCAACUCGACUACAUGAAGCUGGAAUCGCUAGUAAUCGUAGAUCAGCAUGCUACGGUGAAUACGUUCCCGGGUCUUGUACACACCGCCCGUCACACCACGAGAGUUUGUAACACCCGAAGCCGGUGGAGUAACCUUUUAGGAGCUAGCCGUCGAAGGUGGGACAAAUGAUUGGGGUGAAGUCGUAACAAGGUAGCCGUAUCGGAAGGUGCGGCUGGAUCACCUCCUUUCUAAGGA
rnacentral:rRNA from 1 species